rnacentral:rRNA from 1 species
UACGUAGGGUCCGAGCGUUGUCCGGAAUUAUUGGGCGUAAAGGGCUCGUAGGCGGUUUGUUGCGUCGGGAGUGAAAACUUCGAGCUUAACUCGGAGCUUGCUUUCGAUACGGGCAGACUUGAGGCAUUCAGGGGAGAACGGAAUUCCUGGUGUAGCGGUGAAAUGCGCAGAUAUCAGGAGGAACACCGGUGGCGAAGGCGGUUCUCUGGGAAUGUUCUGACGCUGAGGAGCGAAAGCCAGGGGAGCAAACGGG